UGAGACCGACUGUGAUGCUUCCCCCCAUGUGACACCUGGGGGCAGGCACCUCACAGGGACCCACCAAGGCCACCCAGCCCCGUCCCUGGGCGGCUCCCACAGCAAGCCCGGAUUCCCCAUCCUACCUCCCUGGCCCAGGCCCCCCCACUGCAGCCCCACCUGGCAGCAGGCUCGGCACAGCUUUCAUCUUCUGCACCUGAGUCAGCUGCAUGGGUGGCCACGGAUCAGAUACUUAGUCCUAUUGCUUAUCCUCACCAAAGGGUGUGCCACCCAGGGCCACAGUCAUGGAAGAAGACCAUCCCGGUCCUCACCCAUAGGCGCCAAGCCCUGUUCAUGAUGGGAUCACAGGGCAGAGAUCAAUUCAUUUUACUCCAGAGACUAGGGCCCCAGGGGUUGAGGCUCUUUGGGGUUUCUAGGGGAAGUGGCCAGAUCCCCUCUGAGGUUAGAGAGGGGGACCCGUUUUGUUUUGCUCCACUGAGGAGCCCUCUGCUGCUCAG
rnacentral:lncRNA from 1 species